rnacentral:rRNA from 1 species
UGUAAGCGUAUACCAAAGUUGUUGCAGUUAAAACGCUCGUAGUCGGAAUUUGGCAGUUCCGGAUGUGUGCACGUCGUGUGCGCACUUCGCGGGGAUUGCUUUUGUGGUCUUGCGUAGGAUGAGGCACUUUUAUUAGUGAACGUCCUCACGCAACCACUUUUUACUGUGAGAAAAUCAGAGUGCUCAAAGCAGGCAUUUGCCGUGAAUGUAUUAGCAUGGAAUAAUAGAAUAGGACUUGGUUCUAUUUUGUUGGUUUGUUGGGACUGAGUAAUGAUUAAGAGGGACAGUUGGGGGCAUUUGUAUUUCGGUGCUAGAGGUGAAAUUCUUAGAUUACCGAAAGACAAACUGCGGCGAAAGCGUCUGCCAAGGAUGUUUUCAUUGA